rnacentral:rRNA from 1 species
AGUGAACGCUGGCGGUAGGCCUAACACAUGCAAGUCGAACGAGUGGCGGACGGGUGAGGAAUAUAUCGGAAAUUACUCUGUCGCGGGGGAUCACGUCGCGAAACUUACGCUAAUACCGCAUACGAUGGGCUGAGCCGAUGUCGUAUUAGCUAGUUGGCGGGGUAAAGGCACACCAAGGCGACGAUCCGUAGCUGGUCUGAGAGGAUGACCAGCCACACUGGAACUGAGACACGGUCCAGACUCCUACGGGAGGCAGCAGUGGGGAAUAUUGGACAAUGGGGGCAAGCCUGAUCCAGCCAUACCGCGUGGAUGAAGAAGGCCUUCGGGUUGUAAAGUCCUUUUGUUGGGAAAGCGGUACCCGAAGAAUAAGCACCGGCUAACUUCGUGCCAGCAGCCGCGGUAAUUC